rnacentral:rRNA from 1 species
UACGUAGGGGGCAAGCGUUGUCCGGAAUUAUUGGGCGUAAAGGGUGCGUAGGCGGUUUGAUAAGUCAGAUGUGAAAUAUCCGGGCUUAACCUGGAGGGUGCAUUUGAAACUAUCAGACUUGAGUGCAGGAGAGGAAAGUGGAAUUCCUAGUGUAGCGGUGAAAUGCGUAGAUAUUAGGAGGAACACCAGUGGCGAAGGCGACUUUCUGGACUGUAACUGACGCUGAGGCACGAAAGCGUGGGGAGCAAAC